rnacentral:rRNA from 1 species
UAUAAUUUUCAUAGGGUGAUCUUAGUACGAGAGGAACCGUACGUUCGGACAUUUGGUUUACGUAUUUGUUCGAAAGGACAAUGAUGCGAAGCUACCAUCCGACGGCUUACAACUGAACGCCUCUAAGUUGGAAUCCGAUCUAGACUCAAUGAUUUUUUGGCACAUUGGUUGUCGUCAGCACAUUUAUAUAUGUUCAAACUGUUGAUCAAGUGAACAUAUGAAUGAAGCUACCGUAUUGUUGCCUCGUCAUAAUCGAAAUGAGAUUGUGAUUGCAACGAUGCAUUUUUAGUCGAAACAACACUAAUGGCUAGAAUCGAUUGUAAACGACUUUCUUCAGUAACAGAGUAACGUACACGUGAGAGCAACCGCCACAUUGCGAUCCGCUGAGUUUCUGCUCGAUGUUAUGCUGAUUC